UUACAGGUCGGCGCCGAGCUGGCUGAAGCCGGAGUUGAGGCAGCCGCGGGCUAUGCGCCUCCAGAGCGGGUCCCGGCCGGAGAAGGCGCGCAGCCGCCGGCAGACCUGGCCCAGCCGGCCCAGGGCCUGCGCGUCCAGAAACAAGAACUGGGAAGGAAAACGCCAACAUCCCAAAGUCUCAAGUCAAAACCUCUCCAUCUGAUAAAGAAGUUCUGUCCGCUGCAAGCAAACUGAUUCACUGUCUGUCUUUCUCCAGGAUGUGUGCACUACCCUGUGCAUGUACCCCUCGAUGAGAGUCACCUGCGUGCAUAGAUAAGAGACCCCAAAGAAGGCUGCUUGGGUUGGAAGUGAGUUGCCACAUCACAAUUUCUUCACAACCUCUCCCAGCACCGAGAGACGAUCCUGCCACCCAACGACCAGACUAGCCUAUGAUCAGCUGACUUACGAGGAAAGAUGGAAAGACCCAAACAUGAACGCUGACAAGUGCUGAUUCUGGUGGGGAGAGAGGAGCUGCUCAUUCUAAGUGGAAUGUGCUCUACCAAAGACCCUUAUGGUCAGACCUUUCCCCUCCCAGCCCAAGUAAGCUGCAAUAGCAGGGAAUGUCUAAUCUGCAGAGAAGGUGUGGGGGAUGGACUGCUACAGGGUUGUUACUGCCAUGAAUCUGAGAGGACCACAUCAUCCACGAGAGGGUGAUAACACAAGGGCGCCUUGUCAAUAAAAAAAUAGAUCUAGUUCUUGGGAUGACCUGGGCCUAAGUCACUUGGGCAUUUUGAACGUUUUCCACGAGUCCCUUACCUAUGGCUGUGCUCCCAUGUGGUCACUGAGCAUUUCUGGGCAUGUAUUUCACAAGGUCAAGACUAUUCUGCCUCUAGAGCAUGUGUCCUCUGUAUUUACAAAGUAUUUCCAAACAGGUGGCUGUCUUCCUCCUCCCAGUCCCCGGACAUGCUACAGCUUGAAUCGGUGACUUUGAUCGUAAGAAAAACAUCCAAGCAAAGCCCUUGAAGUAGCAGCAAUGCUGUGUUAGACCCAACCAGCCAGUCUGCAGUGCACAAUGCAGCACCAGACACUACAGCCACUGAGUGUGGGAGGGCGAGGGGGGCCAGCAAACAAGUUUGAACAAAAUUAAGAACUGACCAUAAGCCUCAAACUAAACUAAACUCCGCCUGAGCCCCAAACCCUGAACCUUGUCUGAGGUUUGUCGAACAUUUUGUUAGGAUCAAAUAACAUUUUGUUUUCAUUUCUGCUGAUGCUUCUGCAUUGCCUUGUUCCAGACAAGACCCGAAGUGGAAAUACCACGAUACCAGCAUCAAGCCUGUUGUUGCAGCAUUUCCAGGCCUGUGGGAAGUGAUGGACUCUCACGAGAGAACCUCUUCUCACAAGAAUUCCCAGCCAGCCUUGCAGAUCCAAGUGGAGAAGCAUCUGAACUUCUGGACAUUCACCCGAAUUGGACAAACUAAACCUUGCAGGUUCUCCUGCCUUGAGUGAAAGCCCCGGGUCAGAGCUAUCUCCCUCAACCUCACUCAGAUGGAAUGCAGUGAUGUCCCACUGGUACAAACAAAGGGCCAUACUGGCACAGAAUGCAUUGUCCCCUUGCAGUGCCUGCUACCCAGUACAGUGAAAGGGCCCAACCAGUGGCUGAUGAUUCAGUAGACGAGUAAAAACCUUCCCUAGCACCCAGCUGAUUUGUGCUUUACAUGGGUGGGUGGGGGUGACCUUCUUGACCUCUCAGGGUCCUACUAUGAUGUUAGUGCAUGAGAUCCAGGCUACAGUGUUUAUUUUUGAGCUAGUUGCCUUCACAAAGCUGUGGCUGAUGGGAUUUUACAGCACAGGUUGGCUCCUCCAGCCCAGCCACAAUAGCUGAGGAAUCAAUCAUUACCAGCACUUAACUGUUAGAUGGUUAACAGCCUGAACUGAAGCCAAACUGGUUGUUAAUUGCAAUAACAACUGAUUUCAAGGGGUUGUUUCCCUGCGACCAACACGCUCAGCACUUUACUUUGAGUUGAUAUUAGCAAGCAAUAAGGAAAAUCAAGAGAAGUUCACAAGCCAUUAGCAAAGGGCUCUCUCUCCCGGCUGGACAUCAGUUUCUCAUUCUGCAGAAAGUGGACUGCAGCCAGCUUGCUGGGCCAUAGCACACCAAUGAAACUGGAUCUCUAGGUCACAUCUUAUGUAUUGCACAGAACCAUCAACUACCAGGCAGUAGAGAUGGUCUUAUCCAGCUAACUGGGUCUCCCAUCCAACAGCCAGACUCCUUUGGCCAAAUAUCUCCUUGUGUAAUUCCACAGAGCUCACCAGGGAUGAAUGGGGCCCAGUGUGUGAACACAUCCUGCAAGUCACCACAGCCAAGUCUCCAGGGUCCCGUAGGCAGAGGUUCUGCCAGAGGAGCCAAAGAGAGUCCUUCCCUUCACCAAGCUGGAGAAUCUGUGCUGAGCUGCUCCAUGGCAGACAUUGCUCUUUGCAGAACUCCAGGAUGGCCUCAGAGUUGCAAUGAUCUGUGGCUACCACAGAUCUCUUGGUCCUGGUGGGUAUCACUCCUGAUCAGUCCAGCACAUGACAAAAGCGCACACAAAACAACCCUCCCCCUUCCCAGGGACAGAGACAAUUCCAUUGCUGUAAAGCCGUUGAGUUUUGUUUCUAAGGAGCUGUCUAAACGCAGCUCUGCACUGGUUCUGUUAACCCGUAGCAAACCUUUCUGUGCACACGCUGCUUUCAGUUGAAGAGCAGCAUCAGCCUGCUCUGCACACAAAACUGCACCACUUGAACUAACGGGGUGAUUUUAAACUGGUGCAAUUUCAUGUGUGGACACUCGUCAGUUCAUGGAAACCUGGCUGAUAUCAGGUUAGCGACGGAAACUUGGAUACCAUAAGCACAUGACGAUAGCUGCCAUCCCCAUAGCAUCUGAGCAACUCAAGCUACUCCCAUUUUACAGAAGUGGAACUCAGACACAAAGAGACUAAUUUCAGAGUGGUAGCCAUGUUAGUCUGUAUCAGCAAAAACAACAAGGAGUCCUUGUGGCACUUUAGAGACUAACAAAUUUAUUUGGGCAUAAGCUUUUGUGGGUUAAAACCCAUUUGCCCCAGGUCACACUGGGAAGCCGGGGUGUUGUGUUGAGUUGAGUCCCAUGAUAACACCCUAACCACUGGACCAUCCUUCCUUCUCCACCUGUCACAAGCUGACCCAAUCUAAAUCACUAGGUGUGUGUCAAUACAGGGGUGCAACAGUUUAACUAGAUCAGCUUUUAAAGAGGUUGGAAAGAUUCAGUUUUUAUGCAUGCAUGUUGGUAAACAUUGAUUUCACUGUCUCACCCACACACAAACUGACCAAAAAUAUUUCCAAUGCUAAUAAUCAAAAUGUACAGGUAGGCACAGUAAGAAAACUGCUGCUUUGGGAGGCACUCGAGUUUGAUUUAAGAAUAGUCACUUUGUACAUUUUGCCGUGUGAUGUUGACAGUUUGUAGUUUAGGAACCUUUCGCUUUUUGAAUCUCAGUGGCUACUGUCAUUUAUUAUUGUCAGACCCCUCUCCCCAUUGCCUGGCACUCCCAUCAUGUCCCACCACUAUGAAAAGUUACAUACAGAUCAAUGAUUUUUAAAGGUUUGAAUAUAAACCUCAAUAUUAUCCGCCAAAAUUAUUUUUUAAAAAAAUCAAAUUCUGCCAAGCCUAGUUUUAAAUUCAACCAGCACAACUUGUGUGGAUAGGAUAAGGCCUUCUUCAACCACUUCCUAACCAGCUUGAGUUAAAAUAGCGCUGCCUGGCUGGAACGGAAAUCAGCACUCCUGCACAGCCUGUUGUACCAGUUUAACUAAAUCAAUUUAAAAGCACCCUUCAGUUACAUCAGCUCAGCCCUGCGUGUUGACAAGCCUUAAAACCCAGUGUCAUGGGGGCUCCCAGCUGAAUUGUUUAUAGGUUUUAAUUAGAGAAGAGCCUAUCUUAUUACAACGAUGUAGGCUGCAUCCUGAAAAGCGGACGUAGAAAUGGCAGGAUGGCAUCCCGGUUUGCCGUCUCUCUGGGUAUUUCGGCUCAAACAUGUUUUACAGGAGAAAUAUGUGGUGUUUCCUAACUGCCACCCCUGGACCCUGAGUUAUGAUCAUUGUGAGUGCUGCUGCUGAAUGGCUAUGAAACAUACAUCCAGCUAGUCAGUGCUACCACAGCCUGUCAGCCUGCUUCCUGACCUUCAGCCACUUGUUUGUUUCAGCCACCUGUUCCGUCUGGUCUUUUACAAAGCAAGCUCUUCUGGGAGGGAGGGAGGGGCAAAAAAUCAUAGCAAUGGUAUUAUUCCAUUACUAGCUGGAAAUGGUAGAAUUGUCAAUAAUAAUGCAGAAAAGUCAGUAGUGUUCAAAAAAUAUUUCUGUUCUGUGUUUGGGGAAAAGUCCAACAAUGUAAGCAUGGUUUAUGAUGAUGGUGAAAUACUUUUAAUUCCAACAGUAUCUCAGGAGGAUGUUAAACAUCAGCUACUAAGGUCAGACUUUUUAAAUCAGCAAGUCCAGAAAAUUUGCAUCCAAGAGUUUUUAAAGAGCUGGCCAAGGAGCUCUCUGGACCAAUAAUUUUGAUUUUUUCAUUAAGUCUUGGAACACCAAGGAAGUUUCAGAGGACUGGAAGAAACCAAAUGUUGUGCCAACAUUUAAGAAGAGUAAACAGAAUGACCUGGGUAAUUAUUGACCUGUUAGCCUGACUUCGAUCCUAGGCAAAAUAAUGGAACAGUUGAUACAGAACUGGAUUAAUAAAGAAUGAAAUUAGGGUAAUAUAAUGCAAUAAAUAUGGAUU